rnacentral:rRNA from 1 species
CUUAAAGGAAUUGACGGGGGCCCGCACAAGCGGUGGAUUAUGUGGUUUAAUUCGAUGAUACGCGAGGAACCUUACCAAGACUUAAAUGGGAAUUGACAGAUUUAGAAAUAGAUCCUCCUUCGGGCAAUUUUCAAGGUGCUGCAUGGUUGUCGUCAGCUCGUGCCGUGAGGUGUUAGGUUAAGUCCUGCAACGAGCGCAACCCCUGCCAACAGUUGCCAUCAUUCAGUUGGGGACUCUGUUGGGACUGCCUACGCAAGUAGCGAGGAAGGUGGGGAUGACGUCAAAUCAUCACGGCCCUUACGUCUUGGGCCACACACGUAAUACAAUGGCCGGUACAGAGGGCAGCUACCUGGUGACAGGAUGCGAAUCUCGAAAGCCGGUCUCAGUUCGGAUUGGAGUCUGCAACUCGACUCUAUGAAGCUGGAAUCGCUAGUAAUCGCGCAUCAGCCAUGGCGCGGUGAAUACGUUCCCGGGCCUUGUACACACCGCCCGUCAAGCCAUGGAAGUCUGGGGUACCUGAAGUCGGUGACCCGUAAAAGGAGCUGCCUAG